rnacentral:lncRNA from 1 species
CGCGACCGCCCGCCUAUUUGGCCGUGUCGCGGCGCCGCAACAGACCGCCGAACGGACAGGGUUUUCCCUGUACCGCGGACAGAGUCUCCCCCGUACAUUCAAGGCGUCGCAAUCAAUACAAUGUACAAAGUUCCAACCAGGAACACAUUUCAAUCAAAGAUUGCAUAAUGGAAGGUAUGAAACAACAUAACACAUCCUAUGUUAUUACAUGCAUUCAUAUUCAUAUAUUUUUACAUCACAAUUCUCAUAUUACAUUUACACUAGCUUUCACUUAACUGCCAAAUACAAUCCGAUUUAACAUGAUUAUUACAACUUGAUACUUUUCAUUUUUUACAUCCCUAAGUAACCGACUCGGGGUACCGCU